rnacentral:misc_RNA from 1 species
UACUGAAGAAAUGAUAGUGGUUGAGCUGACUUUACUCGAGUAUGUGCUCACCCUAUCGCUUUUUCUAUUCUCCACUGUGAACCUAAUGUAGGCUAUGAUAGACUCUCAGGUCUAGUCUAGACUUGGAUAGAGGGCUAUGCAAAGUCACGCUUUGCUUGCCUUCAAUCAUUGUAGCCUAUGUCUAUACAAACUCCUUUACAAACUUAUGAAUGUAUGCUUGGUUGUUUAUUGACCAAUAACUAUAUACAACUUUCAGCAACGGAUCUCUUGGCUCUCGCAUCGAUGAAGAACGCAGCGAAAUGCGAUAAGUAAUGUGAAUUGCAGAAUUCAGUGAAUCAUCGAAUCUUUGAACGCACCUUGCACUCCUUGGUAUUCCGAGGAGUAUGCCUGUUUGAGUGUCAUUAAAUUCUCAAAUGACCUAGUCUUUCGAGACUAUGGUUGCUUGGAUGUGAGGGUUUUGCUGGCUCUUCCAAGUCCUAGCUCCCUUUAAAUGCAUUAGUGGGUUAGCUUUUUCUAUUCACUUAGAGUGUGAUAAUAUCUACGCUCGUUUGAAUGCAAAGCUUUUCAAACUCGCUUCUAAUUGUCUUUGAGACAACUUUUGACUAUUUG